UGAAAGACCAAAAACACAGAGUGAAUGCCAGAGUUAGGGAAAUUUGGGAUGGGACUGUAAGAGAUCUUUGCCGGGAUUGGAUUUCAUUUCUCUGGGCGCCCCUGACCUUGCAGUCUCGGAACGCUUCUCCCGCCCCCUCCCUCGGCCUGCGCCUGCCUUUGUGUGUGCCUGUCACUUACCGGGGAUCAGAACGAAGCUGAUUCGGGGGCAGCACAAAGCCAACACACAGAUUUGCCCAGAUUCUCUAACACACAUUUCCUAAACUGGAAGGUACAGCCCACGCAGAGCUUGUGAACCUUGAGAAAAGCGGGUUCUGGUCUUGUUUGGGGGCGCAGAGAAACUGUUCUUUCCUCUCUCACUCAGCGCCACUAACAAAACGCGCGGACUCAAGAGGAAAAAAAAAAAAAGAAAGAAAGAAAGAAAGAAGAAGAAGAAGAAAAACUCCACGUAGUGGAUCCCGAAUCCACUCACUGUGACAUUUGUCUAAUGUAGUCGUCCACGGGGGGACAAACGUGCUGGAAGCCGGAGACACAGACCCAGAACGGGACCCAAACAAAUACUACUGGAGAUAAAAGAGUCAAAAACACCGGGUCGGUGUUCUUUCCGGGUUGUCUGAGGAUAAACGAGGGACUCGAAUGACUUACACUAAGGACAGGGGGGAGGAGGAUCCAAAAGAAAAGUGGUGACCCCCAAAGAUGAGCUCUUUCAGAAAGGCAGCCCCAAGAAAACACUCACUUUGCUGAGACUCAAAGGCCGGGAGAGCGGCUGGCGGGAGGUACAAAGUCCUACUUGGCAAAAUUUGGCUUUUUGUUCCAGUAUCUUCACAGAGCCUUUGUCCGUCCUCAUCCUAGUGGAAAACACCUUGCAGGGUAGAAAGCCCAUGUGGACAUGUGAACCAUCAGCCUUUUCCUGCUGUUUCUUUGAAGUAGUCACAAAAGGAUUAACUUCACUGAUGACCAAAAAAGGCAAAAUUGCCCCUUUGUUGUACUCCUGCCAUUCCUGUCAAGCAAGGAAGUUAGAAGGUGGAAAGAGCGCCCUCUGCUGAACUUGUUCGCGAGACAUGGGUCCUUGGAGACGCCAAUUGGAAAAAAAAUCAGAACCACCUUCGGAGCUUUGGGAAGAAAUAUGUGUGACCAGAAGAAAUAUGUGAAAUACUCCAGUUCUGGAGGUCCUGAGGAGAAGCUCAUGGGUUGGUUCUGGGGUGAAGGUUGUACAUAACCAGACCUUUCAACAGAUUUGUAGGAGUCAGACAUAUAACCACUUGAAAACCACUGGGAUCGCUCAUCUGUGUAACUGUAAUAAAU